rnacentral:hammerhead_ribozyme from 1 species
GCACUGCUGAGGAGUUCCAAGCAGGACGAAACAGCUGUCUAGUGU